AGUAUAAAUAACAAAAAUACUCAAAUUUGUUGAUAUCCAUAUUUAUUAUAAAAUAUUAAGGGUAGAAUUGGUAGUUUGAGUAGUGUAUUUAGUAAAACGAUUGAAAAAGAAAUAAGAUUGGUGGUGAAUUACGAAAGAGGUGUGCAUUAUGUAUUUGAGGAUGUGCGAAUAAAAUUUCUCAAAAGAAAAAGAAAAAAGAAAAAAGAGAAUAGCUUUUUCCCACUCAUUCUCUCUCCUUGUAAAAAAAAUAGAGAGAAUAAUGACUGCUUGUGAAAUCAAAAAUCACACCCAAGAGAGAGAGAGAGAGAGAGAGAGAGAGAGAGAGAGAGAUGAGAGAC
rnacentral:lncRNA from 1 species